GAUUAUGGCUCAGGACGAACGCUGGCGGCGUGCUUAACACAUGCAAGUCGAACGAGGAUAUACCAGAGGAGAGCUUCGGCAGGAAUCAGGCGUAUUCGAGUGGCGGACGGGUGAGUAACGCGUGAGCAACCUGUCCCAGACAGGGGGAUAACACUUGGAAACAGGUGCUAAUACCGCAUAAGACCACGGUAUCACAUGGUAGUGGGGUAAAAGGAGCAAUCCGGUUUGGGGUGGGCUCGCGUCCGAUUAGAUAGUUGGUGAGGUAACGGCCCACCAAGUCGACGAUCGGUAGCCGACCUGAGAGGGUGAUCGGCCACAUUGGAACUGAGAGACGGUCCAAACUCCUACGGGAGGCAGCAGUGGGGAAUAUUGGGCAAUGGGCGAAAGCCUGACCCAGCAACGCCGCGUGAGUGAAGAAGGCCUUCGGGUUGUAAAGCUCUGUUAUAGUUGACGAAGGAAGUGACGGUAGGCUAUAAGGAAGCCCCGGCUAACUACGUGCCAGCAGCCGC
rnacentral:rRNA from 1 species